UUAAUUUUAUGAAAAUGUGUUCUCCUUUUUACAGAAACUAGAGAACAUUUAAUGAAAACAUGUUUUGUUUGUGUUUUUGAAUUAUUAAACUGUCUCUCAACAAAAUCCUUCUGGGUUCUGAGUAAAUUUCUAUUAAAUAUGAAAUGGGACAUAGUUAAAUUUACUAGAAAACAGGACAAAUGAUGUACAAAUAUAAAUACAGAAGGGGGAGAGAGACAGAUAUUUUAACUUGCAAUAGUACAAAUGAAAGUUGGUACUAUUAGUAUUAAUGAUUUUGUCAUUGAUUGUCUUAUUUUCUCAUAGUAUACAAGAUGAAUAAGGAUAUUUAAUUGUUUUACCUUUGCAGCUCGUGACCCAGACAAAUCAACGUCUAGCUGACUGAGGGAACAUGCUAAUGAGACAACCAGUGUCAGGGGACUUCCUAACCCUCUAGGUAACAGAAGACCGUGAGCCAGUGAUGUCGGUAGAGGGAGCUAGCGAGCUGGUACUGCAAAAUGUACUGUAACUAUUUUCUUGUUUUUGGAGCUUAACAGCGUGGCCCGGCAUCUCAAGACUUUGUGUGGCACCACGAGACCCCUGGCUCUUCCUCAAAAUAACGAUUACCGUGAAAGGCAAAUAUGCUAACUGAUUCAGGACACUGCGGCGGCCAUGAUAGCACAACGAAAUUAUCAACUAAAAACACGAAGCAGGACUCCCACAGCUCCUUGGGAAAAUGACAAGAACAAUGGCGUGUCUGGCAUCUUAUAUGUUGAGACAAUGUACUCCAUAGAAAAGGCUCACACACUCCUGGAAUCAUAGGAAAGCAAGGAGAUAGGUCUGGGAAAUAGGUAAGUCUUACAUAUGUCCGUUUUGUUUACCUGGAUGUUAUUCAUGUUGACAGGGGCAAUUGCAAGCCUGUUUAUUCACUAGCUGUAAUUUCAAAAAUUACAGAGGUAAUGGUAUUUCUGGUUGAUUAAAGCACUUUAGAAGGGGACCUGUACCUACAACAAUGGCACAACAUGGCUUUAAGUAACAGAGACACUUUAUGGGUUGUCACUGAAGUGGGAAAAUGAUCCUAAUCAUGGAACGAUAGCCGGAGCUAAAAUCUCAGACUGAUGUAGAACAGUUAACAGAAGUGAUUGAUCUUAAGCUACCCCCAGAAGAAAGUUCAUGCAAUUACAUUGAGAGGGAUUAGCUGAUAAGAAUAAGUAAUUUGACAUAUCCUCUAUGACUGAUCUUAAAGUGCUAUGCUUGUGAGAGUUUUAUUAAUCUAUAUCUGCCUAUCUAUCUAUCUAUCCUUAAGUAUUGUGCAAUAGCUUCCUUCUUUUAUUUAAUAUAAGCAAAUUAAUUUGUACUUGUCAUAAUUCUUGAAAAUGUCAUUUUCAAUGGCUUUACAUAGAUAUGCCAUUAUUGCUUUAUUAGUUCCCCAUUGUUGAAUAUUUGUAUUUUCAUAAAACAUAUUAUUGCUUAUAAUAAUACCAGUCUAGGUUUUUUACCAAGUGUUAUAAAUAACAUUCCUG
rnacentral:lncRNA from 1 species